GCUGGGCACAGUGGCUUAUGCCUGUAAUCCCAGCAAUUUGGGAGGCUGAGGUGGGCGGAUCACCUGAGGUCAGGAGUUUGAGACCAGCCUGACCAACAUGGAGAAACCCCAUCUCUA
rnacentral:SRP_RNA from 2 species